rnacentral:rRNA from 1 species
CCUACGGGAGGCAGCAGUGGGGAAUUUUGGACAAUGGGCGAAAGCCUGAUCCAGCAAUGCCGCGUGAGUGAAGAAGGCCUUCGGGUUGUAAAGCUCUUUUGUCAGGGAAGAAACGGUGAGAGCUAAUAUCUCUUGCUAAUGACGGUACCUGAAGAAUAAGCACCGGCUAACUACGUGCCAGCAGCCGCGGUAAUACGUAGGGUGCAAGCGUUAAUCGGAAUUACUGGGCGUAAAGCGUGCGCAGGCGGUUUUGUAAGUCUGAUGUGAAAUCCCCGGGCUCAACCUGGGAAUUGCAUUGGAGACUGCAAGGCUAGAAUCUGGCAGAGGGGGGUAGAAUUCCACGUGUAGCAGUGAAAUGCGUAGAUAUGUGGAGGAACACCGAUGGCGAAGGCAGCCCCCUGGGUCAAGAUUGACGCUCAUGCACGAAAGCGUGGGGAGCAAACAGGAUUAGAUACCCUGGUAGUCCACGCCCUAAACGAUGUCUACUAGUUGUCGGGUCUUAAUUGACUUGGUAACGCAGCUAACGCGUGAAGUAGACCGCCUGGGGGAGUUACGGUUCGCAAAGAUUUAAAAACCUUCAAAAGGAUAGUUCGGACGUUGNGAGAGCGACGACGACGACGACGGAGGAGGAGG